GGCAAAAUAGAAGAGCCAGUAGUUGAGUUCAUGUAUGUCCUUGCUUUGCCUUGUCACAUACCAGACACUUUGUUGUGAAUGUUUAGAUAUGGGAAGAGGAGCUAAAAUGAACAGCCCCAUAUUCUGUGGAUCGCAAUAAAAUGCAUUUUUAAUGGGGUGUAUUAUUGGUUAUGAUAAAUAUUUGGCCAUUUCUUUCUGAUGAUAAAAGUAAUGCAUAUUUAUGUAUCUGUGUUACAGGUCAUUCACAAGUGGCCACAGUCUGGUUUGGGGGUCUACGCUUUCUCGUCCUGUCCUGCCACCCAAGUAAAGUCAUUCACAAGUGGCUCCAGUCUGGUUUGGGGGUCUACGCUUUCUCAUCCUGUCCUGCCACCCAAGUAAAGUUAUUCACAAGUGGCUCCAGUCUGGUUUGGGGGUCUACGCUUUCUCAUCCUGUCCUGCCAUUCAAGUAAAGUCAUUCACAAGUGGCUCCAGUCUGGUUUGGGGGUCUACGCUUUCUCAUCCUGUCCUGCCACCCAAGUAAAGUUAUUCACAAGUGGCUCCAGUCUGGUUUGGGGGUCUACGCUUUCUCAUCCUGUCCUGCCAUUCAAGUAAAGUGCUGUGAGGAAAAACACAGAAACAUGGUCAGCCAACGACGCGGUGGUCACUAAGCACGCAAUCAGGUGGUUCAACGAGGAGACCUGUCCUGCCUCCAUCCACACCAAACGGAUUAAUAGGAGAAAUAAACAUUAA